rnacentral:rRNA from 1 species
UACGUAGGGGGCAAGCGUUGUCCGGAAUCAUUGGGCGUAAAGAGCGUGUAGGCGGCCCGAUAAGUCCGCUGUGAAAGUCCAGGGCUCAACCCUGGAAUGCCGGUGGAUACUGUCGGGCUCGAAUCCGGAAGAGGUGAGUGGAAUUCCUGGUGUAGCGGUGAAAUGCGCAGAUAUCAGGAGGAACACCGGUGGCGAAGGCGGGUCUCUGGACAGUUCCUGACACUGAGGCACGAAGGCCAGGGGAGCAAACAGG